ACGCGAAGAACCUUACCAGGUCUGGACAUCCUCUGACACUCCUAGAGAUAGGACGUUCCCCUUCGGGGGACAGAGUGACAGGUGGUGCAUGGUUGUCGUCAGCUCGUGUCGUGAGAUGUUGGGUUAAGUCCCGCAACGAGCGCAACCCUUGUUCUUAGUUGCCAGCAUUCAGUUGGGCACUCUAAGGAGACUGCCGGUGACAAACCGGAGGAAGGUGGGGAUGACGUCAAAUCAUCAUGCCCCUUAUGACCUGGGCUACACACGUGCUACAAUGGAUGGUACAAAGGGCUGCAAGACCGCGAGGUUUAGCCAAUCCCAUAAAACCAUUCUCAGUUCGGAUUGUAGGCUGCAACUCGCCUACAUGAAGCCGGAAUCGCUAGUAAUCGCGGAUCAGCAUGCCGCGGUGAAUACGUUCCCGGGCCUUGUACACACCGCCCGUCACACCACGAGAGUUUGUAACACCCGAAGUCGGUGGGGUAACCGUAAGGAGCCAGCCGCCUAAGGUGGGACAGAUGAUUGGGGUG
rnacentral:rRNA from 1 species